rnacentral:other from 1 species
AAUUCUCUGCGAUGUACGUGACUUUAAAAUCUAUUCUUGAACCAACAAAAGAAUAGAAGGUGACAUUUAAAAUGGCAGUGUGCAAGCCCUUAAACACGACAGCCUAAAAACUGCCGGGGAAGCCUAAUGUCAAAAAAGAAGUUGCCUGACUGGUUUUAACCGGUUCAAGUAAAUUUUUAGACACGGCAUUGCGGAGAACUA